rnacentral:rRNA from 1 species
GUACAUUCGUGGGUAAAUCAACCAGCUCAACUGGUUGAAUUCUGCGAGCACGGCCAGACUUGGGACCGGGAGAGGUGUGGGGUACGCUCAGGGUAGGGGUAAAAUCCUGUCAUCCUGAGCGGACCACCUGUUGCGAAGGCGCCACACUAGAACGGAUCCGACGGUCAGGGACGAAGCCUAGGGGCACGAACCGGAUUAGAUACCCGGGUAGUCCUAGGUGUAAACGCUGUGGACUUGGUGUUGGGGAUGAUCCGAUCAUUCUCAGUGCCGAAGCGAAGGUGAUAAGUCCACUGCCUGGGGAGUACGGUCGCAAGGCUGAAACUUAAAGGAAUUGGCGGGGGAGCACCGCAACCUGAGGAUUGUGCGGUUUAAUUGGAUUCAACGCCGGAAAACUCACCAGUGCCGACGGACAGAUGAAAGCCAGUGUGAUGAGCUUGCUGGAUUGUUCGAGAGGUAGUGCAUGGCCGCCGUCAGUUCGUACCGUAAGGCGUUCUGUUAAGUCAGAUAACGAACGAGACCCUCAUCCCUAUUUGCUAAGGUUUCUCCCUUCGGGGCGAGAUCACAGGACUAUAGGGAGACCGCUGGCGAGAAGUCAGAGGAAGGUGAGGGCAACGGUAGGUCAGUAUGCUCCGAAUGCACUGGGCUACACGCGCAAUACAAAGGACGGGACAAUGGGCCGCUGCUCCGAGAGGAAAGAUGGCUAUCCCGAAACCCGUUCGUAGUUCGGAUUGAGGGCUGUAACUCGCCCUCAUGAAGCUGGAUUAGGUAGUAAUCGCGUCUCAAAAAGGCGCGGUGAAUAUGCCCCUGCUCCUUGCACACACCGCCCGUCAAACCAUCUUAGUUGGGGGUGGGUGAGGCUGCCUUUUAGUGGGGU